UACGUAGGGGGGCUAGCGUUGUCCGGAAUCAUUGGGGCGUAAAGCGCGCGUAGGUGGCCCGGUAAGUCCGCUCUGAAAGUCACAGGCUCAACCCUUGAAAGCCGGCCGAUACUGUCGGACUAGAGUCCGGAAGAGGCAAGUGGAAUUCCCGGUGUAGCGGUGAAUGCGCAGAUAUCGGGAGGAACACCAAUGGCGAAGGCAGCUUGCUGGGACGGUACUGACGCUGAGGCGCGAAAGCGUGGGAGCAAACAGG
rnacentral:rRNA from 1 species